GCUGGCGUAGCUCAGUCGGUAGAGCAGCCGCCUUGUAAGUGGCAGGUCAUCGGUUCAAGCCCGAUCGCCAGCUCUA
rnacentral:tRNA from 1 species